UACGUAGGGCGCGAGCGUUGUCCGGAAUUAUUGGGCGUAAAGAGCUCGUAGGUGGCUUGUUGCGUCUGCCGUGAAAGCCCGUGGCUUAACUACGGGUCUGCGGUGGAUACGGGCAGGCUAGAGGCUGGUAGGGGCAAGCGGAAUUCCUGGUGUAGCGGUGAAAUGCGCAGAUAUCAGGAGGACCACCGGUGGCGAAGGCGGCUUGCUGGGCCAGGUCUGACGCUGAGGAGCGAAAGCGUGGGGAGCGAACAGG
rnacentral:rRNA from 1 species